AUGGAGUGCGAGAACGCACACGUUGCCGCCAACGGCGAUGGCUUGUGCGUGGCGCAGCCGGCGCGGGCCGACCCACUCAACUGGGGGAAGGCGGCGGAGGAGCUCUCGAGUAGCCAUUUGGAGGCGGUGAAGCGGAUGGUGGAGGAGUACCGCAAGCCGGUCGUGACGAUGGAGGGCGCCAGCCUGACCAUCGCGAUGGUCGCCGCGGUGGCUGCCGGCAGCGACACCAGGGUGGAGCUCGACGAGUCCGCCCGCGGCCGCGUCAAGGAGAGCAGCGACUGGGUCAUGAACAGCAUGAUGAACGGCACCGACAGCUACGGUGUCACCACCGGCUUCGGCGCCACCUCUCACCGGAGGACCAAGGAGGGCGGCGCUCUCCAGAGAGAGCUCAUCCGAUUCCUUAACGCGGGAGCCUUCGGCACCGGCACCGACGGCCACGUCCUGCCUGCCGCGGCGACGAGGGCGGCGAUGCUCGUCCGAGUCAAUACCUUACUCCAGGGAUAUUCUGGCAUCCGCUUCGAGAUCCUGGAGACGGUCGCCACACUUCUCAACGCCAACGUGACACCAUGCCUGCCGCUCCGGGGCACGAUCACCGCAUCCGGUGACCUCGUCCCGCUUUCGUACAUCGCGGGCCUGGUCACCGGCCGCCCAAACUCCAUGGCGACCGCUCCAGAUGGCACAAAGGUUAAUGCUGCUGAGGCAUUUAAGAUCGCCGGCAUCCAGCAUGGCUUCUUCGAGCUGCAGCCAAAGGAAGGCCUAGCCAUGGUGAAUGGCACGGCAGUGGGCUCAGGGCUUGCAUCCAUGGUGCUUUUCGAGGCUAACAUCCUUAGCCUCCUUGCUGAGGUCUUGUCAGCCGUCUUCUGCGAGGUGAUGAACGGCAAGCCGGAGUACACCGACCACUUGACCCACAAGUUGAAGCACCACCCCGGGCAGAUCGAGGCUGCCGCCAUCAUGGAACAUAUCCUUGAAGGCAGCUCCUACAUGAUGCUCGCGAAGAAGCUCGGUGAGCUUGACCCAUUGAUGAAGCCAAAGCAAGAUAGGUAUGCCCUCCGCACAUCACCGCAGUGGCUUGGCCCUCAGAUUGAGGUUAUCCGUGCUGCCACCAAGUCGAUUGAGCGGGAAAUCAACUCCGUCAACGACAACCCACUCAUCGACGUCUCCCGUGGCAAAGCUAUCCAUGGUGGCAACUUCCAGGGCACACCCAUCGGUGUGUCCAUGGACAACACCAGGCUUGCCAUUGCUGCGAUUGGCAAGCUCAUGUUUGCUCAAUUCUCAGAGCUGGUGAACGACUUCUACAACAACGGUCUUCCUUCCAACCUCUCUGGUGGGCGCAACCCAAGCUUGGACUAUGGCUUCAAGGGUGCCGAGAUUGCAAUGGCCUCCUACUGCUCCGAGCUUCAGUUCUUGGGCAACCCUGUGACCAACCAUGUCCAAAGUGCGGAGCAGCACAACCAAGAUGUCAACUCUCUUGGUCUCAUCUCCUCGAGGAAGACCGCCGAGGCCAUUGACAUACUCAAGCUCAUGUCCUCGACGUUCUUGGUUGCGUUGUGCCAGGCUAUCGACCUCCGCCACCUUGAGGAGAAUGUCAAGAAUGCUAUCAAGAGAUGUGUGAAGACUGUAGCUAGGAAGACACUGAGCACCGAUACCAAUGGCCAUCUCCAUAACGCGCGCUUCUGCGAGAAGGACCUUCUGCUCACAAUCGACCGUGAGGCGGUGUUUGCGUACGCAGACGAUCCUUGUAGCGCCAACUACCCACUGAUGCAGAAGAUGCGUGCAGUUCUUGUGGAGCAUGCCUUGGCAAAUGGUGAGGCCGAGCGCGACGUGGAAACGUCAGUGUUUGCCAAGCUUGCCACGUUUGAGCAGGAGCUUCGUGCGGUGCUGCCAAAGGAGGUUGAAGCUGCCAGGAGCGCCGUGGAGAAUGGCACUGCCGCACAGCAAAACCGUAUUGCCGAAUGCCGGUCGUACCCACUCUACCGAUUCGUGCGCAAGGAGCUUGGAACGGAGUACUUGACCGGAGAGAAGACGCGGUCUCCUGGCGAAGAGGUGGACAAGGUGUUCAUUGCCAUGAACCAGGGCAAGCACAUCGAUGCGCUGCUUGAGUGCCUCAAGGAGUGGAACGGUGAGCCCUUGCCUCUCUGCUAA
rnacentral:rRNA from 1 species